UUCGCUUGUACCGUGAUUCUACAGUCUAUGCCCUAUAUCUUCCCCAUCCUUCUAACUUGUAUCCAAGUUUCUCCAUCAGCGGAGAGUGCGAUGGGCGGUUAGAUUUAAGGAAUGAUAGGCCGGUGCGGUUUCAAAAAGUGUUCCAUUAAAGAGGGGUGCGAAGUUGUAUGCUUUUCCAGUCCGGCUUCUAAAAUCUUAGAAGUCAGUUGGAAAGGAGAAUCUUGGACCAGAAGAUGCGAUUUGCGAUCUGGUGCUGCGGUAAUGUGGAGGGUGCCCCCCCCCCGCAAGCUCCCUCACUUUCCCCUGCCAAGCUGUCCCCAUUGUAGAUUGCGCUGAUAAAAAGGGAUGUUAUUGACUAUGCAAAAGCAUGCUGCCCUCGCCUGCCUCUCUCUCUUUCUCCCCCCUCUUUCCCAAUAAACUCUCGGUCCUGUCUUUUGGUGGUCACUGAAAAGGUGAAACGAAUAAGAUUAAAUCACACACACUCUUUCUCACACAGGCCAGCUCGAUACGUGUAAUUUUUAAGAUUUUACUCCCCGGACUGUGAAGAUACUGGUUGAAAAAAAGGGAGGCAAAGCAGGAGAGAGAGAGGGGGGGGGGAAGAAGGAGGGAGGGGGAGAGAGAGAGAGAGAGGCUAAGAGAAGGUACAGAGAGAGGCAGCGCGUAGGGCUCCUUGACACGGUUUCUUUGGACUCCGGAUUCCGUCCACUGGCAACGGGCAGCCCUCGGCUGAGCAAGGCAAUGCUUUGUCAAUUUCCUGUUCUCUGUGACUAUCUGCAGGGAACCAAUGAAAAGGGCUAACAGGACAUCACCUGCAUCCCCUUCUUUGUUUCCCUGGAACCAGUAUGCAAUAUUAAUACAGGCAAUGAAGGGAGCGACUUGAAUUAAGUUCCACAUUCACCAUAACAAGCAUAAUAAUUAAAAAUUGAUGACACAACACACAUUGGAAUGUGAAAAACAAACAGAGGUCAGAAUCAGAUGACCCAAGUCUGUUCGCCUGUCAAGGAGAUGUGGAAAUGUGCUGGCAUUCCAGCUGAAGACAUCAUUAUGAGUGAGAAAAUGCUCAAGGCCUUUUAAAAAAGUGGGUACUGAAAGAGACGCUUCCCUUCUUUGACUCCAGGGGAUGCUGGUAGCUGGCCCAGCAGACAGGUACUGGGGGUCAGAGGCUAGCAUUGCUGUGUGUGUGCUGCACACCCUUAGGAUUUCUCCAGGAGAUGGGUAAGCAAGUAAUCAUCCCCAAUCUUAAUAAGGAGGCAUUGCAUGAAAAGAAGAACUUGACAACAAAAGAAAAGCAACCUGCAAGGAGCGAAGUCUGGGCAACACAACACUUGGCAGUUGCAAUUUUAAUAAUCUGACAAGUUGAGUUCCCUAAUCUUUGUUAUUGAUAUUGACGGGAAGCUUCAUAAGGUUUUAGAGAUUUGUAUCUAUUAAGACAUGCCGCAGUGUUCCUACAACAUGGGAACAAGUUUGUUGGAGAUCACUGCUCUUCUUUCUCUGUGAUAAAAAUUGAUAUGAACUGUUUUAAACUGCUGGCAGAUAAUUACUCUGAACACUCAAUAAGGAAAGCUAUAUCUUUAGAGUCUUCCUUUAUCUAAAAAAAAAUUCCACUUUUUCCCUCUUUUGUUUCUUUGAUUACUUAGAGCCCUGUAAUCAAACUAAGCUUAGUUUCAGGACCCUUGGGGCAGUAUCUCUUAGUUCCCUGUCAAGCUGCGUUGCAAAACAAUCAAUCUUGCUCUUGCACUCUCUUGGCGGAAGUGCCACGACACCAAGAGUGCAAUGCUUUGCUCUUGCCAUGAAGCCUCAAUGACAAAAGUUUUUAUAAGAAGCUGACUGUAUUUAGGGUUAUGAAUAUGCAAUGACUCUCAUUAGUAUUGAAGCACAGGAGCAGGGGCUGACAUCCCCCGCCACUUUGAGCUGCUGCAGAAUUGUCUAAUGAAUUGUCUUGCUCUUUCACUUGCACAGGCUUUUUCUGUUGUGGCUCCCUGUUCCAAGGGGAGUUGCCCAGUUCGAGAAUACUAUUGACUGCAGAAAUUAAUUGCCAAGAACUGCUCUUGAUUUUGUUAAACAAUCUUGAGACAGUGUUUAAAUUGUCAAAACAGAAAACCAUUCAACUUUACAGAAGAUAAAACCAACAGGAGGGAGGGGACCUAUGUGUCAAUGUGAUUUGGACACACACUUUGUUCAUAUGUCUACAUGUACAAUGCAGGAUUUUUCAUUUAUAUGCAGAUAUACAUAUAUGUUCAUGCAUAUAUGUACAUACACUCCCUCUGCACCCCCUCCAAUCCCAUAAGGUCAACACAGGGAAAUCAAGUCAUAGAUAUCUGACAUUCUCUUGAUCUGGUAUUUUCCUUCUCAAUAGAACAAAGAGGGAUGACAGAAGGAUCUCAAAAUGAAAGCUAUUCAUACAGCACAAAGCUAUUUGGUGAACCCUUUAAGACUCUUUCUCACACUUUCUCCCCCUUUUCCAACUGGGCCCCUGCCAAACAUUUUGUGGUUCACACAUACACAAUCUUACAUGAAUACGAGGCCGAUAAUAACAUUUGCAGCGACUGAUUAAGAUAUCUGCCGUGAUGUGGAGUAUAUGAGAAGCAGCAAAACAUGCUCAGCUACAUGGCUCAGCAGCAUAAAUUAUCUUUCUUUUCUCAUUAUACCUACUUCCUUCAAUUUUUUUUUUAAUAUAAAGGGGCUUGGGCACUCCUCACAGGUUGUGAAGACAGGAAUGGACUGGAAUUAAUAAGCUCUUCUAAAAAGCCUAAGAAGCAGGUUGAAAGAUGUGCAAAUAGAAUUAAGCAUAUAGACUUUGCAGCAAAAGGGAUAGCCUCAUAUGUUCCUUAAUUCGUUUUAUUUGUAAUGGAAAUAGUCACAGUGGGAGGAAGAGGAACUGUUCCUUUUUGUUCCUUUCCCCCAUGCAGAACAAGAACUUUGUGUACUCCUUGACCCACCUCUUUCAGUACCGAGAUUCGUAUUUUCAUCUUAAGUGGGACCUCAUAUAUAUCUAUACGCACAGUUUAAAAAAAAUAUAGUUCUGACAAAAGUGGAACAAGUCUCAUACAUCAAACACUUGUUACCCCUCUUGGCCUUAGUGAUUGCACAUGACUACGAACAAGUCAGUGAUAAAAUCUGAAGAAAGAUGAAACCAAUCUGAGCCUUUUUAAAGACCAUCAAUCAUUCUGUGCAACCAUGAUAUUA